ACAAACGACUCUCGGCAACGGAUAUCCCGGCUCUCGCAUCGAUGAAGAACGUAGCGAAAUGCGAUACUUGGUGUGAAUUGCAGAAUCCCGUGAACCAUCGAGUCUUUGAACGCAAGUUGCGCCUGAGGCCACUAGGCUAAGGGCACGUCUGCCUGGGUGUCACGC
rnacentral:rRNA from 2 species